rnacentral:rRNA from 1 species
UACGUAGGGUGCGAGCGUUAAUCGGAAUUACUGGGCGUAAAGCGUGCGCAGGCGGUUGUGCAAGACAGAUGUGAAAUCCCCGGGCUCAACCUGGGAACUGCAUUUGUGACUGCACGGCUAGAGUGCGGCAGAGGGAGAUGGAAUUCCGCGUGUAGCAGUGAAAUGCGUAGAUAUGCGGAGGAACACCGAUGGCGAAGGCAAUCCCCUGGGCCUGCACUGACGCUCAUGCACGAAAGCGUGGGGAGCAAACAGG